CAUGUGGUUAAUUCGAAGCAACGCGAAGAACCUUACCAGGUCUUGACAUCCCGAUGCUAUUUCUAGAGAUAGAAAGUACUUCGGUACAUCGGUGACAGGUGGUGCAUGGUUGUCGUCAGCUCGUGUCGUGAGAUGUUGGGUUAAGUCCCGCAACGAGCGCAACCCCUAUUGUUAGUUGCCAUCAUUCAGUUGGGCACUCUAGCGAGACUGCCGGUAAUAAACCGGAGGAAGGUGGGGAUGACGUCAAAUCAUCAUGCCCCUUAUGACCUGGGCUACACACGUGCUACAAUGGUUGGUACAACGAGUUGCGAGUCGGUGACGGCGAGCUAAUCUCUUAAAGCCAAUCUCAGUUCGGAUUGUAGGCUGCAACUCGCCUACAUGAAGUCGGAAUCGCUAGUAAUCGCGGAUCAGCACGCCGCGGUGAAUACGUUCCCGGGCCUU
rnacentral:rRNA from 1 species